AGCAAAUCAAAUUAACUGUUCUAGGAUUACAACUUAGCAAAUAAAAAAAGGUGAUCAUAUACUCUGUAUGAUCAUGACAAUCUUAACAAAGCUUGUAUUUACAUUUUUUUAGGAUGUAAUCAAAUAAAUAAAUUUAUAACAAGUGAUGUUGUAGUUCCAACCAAUAUUAGAUUGAGAUCAAGGCAACUAUGCACAAGGGAUUGUAGAACCCUAGUUAGCAUACGUCUGACACCAAUGCCUUUAACUUUGCAAAAUAUUAACAGACGACGUAUAAUAUUAUUUAGAGUAUUAAAGCUCUCUACAACUCUUAUUUUUUGUCCAUUUUUUAUUCUACCAUCGGCUAUCUUGUUGAGUUUCAUUUUAAUCCCAUUUCUCUUGUUUUGUGUCGUGCCAUGUGUUUUUGUCUUUAAAUCUGCAAGCUUUUUUUACAGAAUUGUCUACUU
rnacentral:lncRNA from 1 species